CCCGCACAAGCAGCGGAGCGUGUGGUUUAAUUCGAUGCAAACGCGAAGAACCUUACCAAGGCUUGACAUGCCAGAAGUAGGAACUCGAAAGAGAGACCACCUGUAUCCAGUCAGGAACUGGCACAGGUGCUGCAUGGCUGUCGUCAGCUCGUGCCGUGAGGUGUUAGGUUAAGUCCUGCAACGAGCGCAACCCUCGUCGCUAGUUAAAUUUUUCUAGCGAUACUGCCCGUAAAACGAGGAGGAAGGUGGGGAUGACGUCAAGUCAGCAUGGCCUUUAUGUCCUGGGCUACACACACGCUACAAUGGCCAACACAAUAGGUUGCUAAGCCGCGAGGUGGAGCCAAUCCAGCAAAACUUCCCUCAGUUCAGAUUGCAGGCUGCAACUCGCCUGCAUGAAGUUGGAGUUGCUAGUAAACGCAGGUCAGCCAUACUGCGUUGAAUACGUUCCCGGGGCUU
rnacentral:rRNA from 1 species